rnacentral:lncRNA from 1 species
AGAUUGCUAGCACAGCCGCCGAGAGCUUCCUCUCUUCGCAUGUGUAUUUCAACAUUGACUUGGAAUCUUCUUACUUCCCUUUGAAGGCACUUAACCUCAACGCUUACUUGGGCUCUAUUGUAUUCUAAACACUCCAGAUCGCCCUCCUUCCUGGCGCGGCAGAAUUAGGGGGCGCACGUUCCUUAAAUUAAGGAAACUUAAAAUUUACCUACACAGUUUCUGAUUUCUCAGCUCAAAUCCCCAGGUACAAAAGACACAAAUCUUACUUCAAAAGAGCAAGUUAAAUUGUUUUUGCAGCUAGUGUAAUACAGUGGAGCUGUCUGGUCCUCAAGCUGUUGUGUAUGUAACGCACGUUUCCCCGCCCCCCGCCCCAAAAGUUGUAACAUUCCGUUUCUCCUGCUAACGUUCAAACUUGGCAGAACUAACUUUCCUCUUUUAACUAUUUAGUAAAUAGGGAAAUAGGCAAAAGUUAUAAUUCUACAGAUUGUUUGUUUUCCUUUCCUCUCCUCCCAGAACCCACAGGCUGACUUCCCAGGAGUGUAAGUAAAAUGUAGAGCAUUAGUCGUUUCACAGUUCAGAGGAAUAUUGAACUGAUCACUGCAAGUGGAAAGCGGUCGGAGGCAGUAAUUAGUGGGGCUUAUUCUGAGCCCCGGCCAGCUUUUCCUCCAGCCCAGUCAGUCCUCUGUUGAAGGAAGGACAUCCUGUGAUGAUGGCAUACAAUGUCCUGUUUGUUUAUUAUUAAGAGCGUGGACCUUGCAUUCCUGCUUCUCAUUACAAAACAAACCAGAUGCUUUACUUCCUUCAAUGGUCUUGUGCCUUCAGCAAGGAAUCCUUUAAUUCAGAGAAACAAUGUUUAUAGCAAACACC